GUGGGGAAUAUUGGACAAUGGGCGAAAGCCUGAUCCAGCCAUGCCGCGUGUGUGAAGAAGGUCUUCGGAUUGUAAAGCACUUUAAGUUGGGAGGAAGGGCAGUAAGUUAAUACCUUGCUGUUUUGACGUUACCGACAGAAUAAGCACCGGCUAACUUCGUGCCAGCAGCCGCGGUAAUACGAAGGGUGCAAGCGUUAAUCGGAAUUACUGGGCGUAAAGCGCGCGUAGGUGGUUUUGUAAGUUGGAGGUGAAAUCCCCGGGCUCAACCUGGGAACUGCCUCCAAAACUUCAUGACUAGAGUACGGUAGAGGGUAGUGGAAUUUCCUGUGUAGCGGUGAAAUGCGUAGAUAUAGGAAGGAACACCAGUGGCGAAGGCGACUACCUGGACUGAUACUGACACUGAGGUGCGAAAGCGUGGGGAGCAAACAGGAUUAGAAACCCGGGUAGUCC
rnacentral:rRNA from 1 species